rnacentral:snRNA from 1 species
GGGGGUGUGUGUCAGUGAUGGCACCGCUGAACAUUGAUCACUUAAAGGUUACUUUAGCUGAUCUGCUCAGUACAAGUGCAGUCACGUGGUCGAUCCAGCAACCAAGGGAUUGCCGAUGCCGCGGCGCUCGGUUCUAUCCAGUGGUUUCUUGAACGUCCGUUAUUUCCAAAUUUUGGGGGCUCGGGAAGUUUAAAUUCAAGACACCUCCAUGAAUGGCGCUUGCAGUGUGGCAGUCUGCCAUUUUUUUUU